rnacentral:rRNA from 1 species
CCCUUAGAUGUCCUGGGCCGCACGCGCGCUACACUGAACGGAUCAGCGCGGUUUCCCUUCCCGAGAGGGACGGGUAACCUGCUGAACCCCGUUCGUGGUAGGGAUCGGGGCUUGCAAUUAUUCCCCGUGAACCAGGAAUGCCCAGUAAGUGCAAGUCAUAAGCUUGCGUUGAUUACGUCCCUGCCCUUUGUACACACCGCCCGUCGCUACUACCGAUUGAACGUUUUAGUGAGGUACUCGGACUGAGCCUCAGAAGAUUCACGUCUUUUGUGCUGCUCGGGAAGAUUCCCAAACUUGAGCGUUUAGAGGAAGUAAAAGUCGUAACA